GGGCGCGCCUGUGCAGGGCUUCUCAGCCCCGCUCCCCGCUUGCCCUAAAUCCUACUGCGGGAGCGCCGGAGCGCGAGUUGGGCCAUUAGAAGCCGCAAUUACUGGUAUCCCAAUAAGAAGACUCCAGGGUUAGAAAGAGAAAAUUGGGGUUCUGUGAUCUGGCACAUUCUCACGUCCUCCCCCAACUAGCCGCGUGUGAACACGAAGCUCCCACUCCGACCCCAGCCGGCUCCACAGAAAUUUCAACUUGACCCACGUCUGUUAGUAAUGAUGUUUGCAGGAGUCUAGUCCUG